CCUGGCUCAGGAUGAACGCUAGCUACAGGCUUAACACAUGCAAGUCGAGGGGCAGUGAGAAGAAAGCUUGCUUCUUGCCGGCGACCGGCGCACGGGUGAGUAACGCGUAUCCAACCUUCCCCUUAGUAGGGCAUAGCCCGGCGAAAGUCGGAUUAAUACCCUAUGUUAUUCGUAGAGGACAUCUGAAAUGAAUCAAAGAUUUAUCGCUAAGGGAUGGGGAUGCGUCUGAUUAGGUAGUAGGCGGGGUAACGGCCCACCUAGCCUACGAUCAGUAGGGGUUCUGAGAGGAAGGUCCCCCACAUUGGAACUGAGACACGGUCCAAACUCCUACGGGAGGCAGCAGUGAGGAAUAUUGGUCAAUGGACGAGAGUCUGAACCAGCCAAGUAAGCGUGCAGGAUGACGGCCCUAUGGGUUGUAAACUGCUUUUAUACGGGGAUAAAGUGAGGGACGUGUCCCUUUUUGUAGGUACCGUAUGAAUAAGGACCGGCUAAUUCCGUGCCAGCAGCUGC
rnacentral:rRNA from 1 species